rnacentral:rRNA from 1 species
AGGGUUUGAUUAUGGCUCAGGACGAACGCUGGCGGCGUGCCUAACACAUGCAAGUCGAACGGAGCUUUUGUGGAAUUUCCUUCGGGGAAGGAAGCUUAAGCUUAGUGGCGAACGGGUGAGUAACGCGUGAGCAACCUGCCUUUCAGUGGGGGACAACAGUUGGAAACGACUGCUAAUACCGCAUAACAUUCCGAUGGGGCAUCCCGUUGGAAUCAAAGAUUUAUUGCUGAAAGAUGGGCUCGCGUCUGAUUAGCUAGUUGGCGGGGUAACGGCCCACCAAGGCGACGAUCAGUAGCCGGACUGAGAGGUUGAACGGCCACAUUGGGACUGAGAUACGGCCCAG